rnacentral:rRNA from 1 species
UACGGAGGGUGCGAGCGUUGUCCGGAAUCACUGGGCGUAAAGGGCGCGUAGGCGGCCUGAUAAGUAGGGGGUGAAAUCCUGCGGCUUAACCGCAGGGCUGCCUUCUAAACUGUCGGGCUAGAGCACGGUAGAGGCAGAUGGAAUUCCCGGUGUAGCGGUGGAAUGCGUAGAGAUCGGGAAGAACAUCAGUGGCGAAGGCGGCUGACUGGACAUGUAUUGACGCUGGAGGUGACGAAAGCGGUGGGGAGCAAACAGGG